GACCUCGUGAUUCACCCGCCUCGGUCUCCCAAAGUGCUGGGGUUAUAGGUGUGAGCACUGUGCCCAGCCCAUUACAUCAUUUUUCUUAUCACGGUAACAAGCAUGUAUAGAUUACAGUUUCCAGGCACUUCUAUUUUCAUAAGACUGGACUAUGGCUGUCUUCCUAUUGUGUAUCCCAGCAGCUAGUCCUGUUACAGAACCAAACUGGGGUCCUCUUGUCCAGCACAGUAAGACCAGAUAUCCACACCACAGUUUGCAUCAGUAGAAAGGAAGGUGUUUAUCUGUAGGGCAGCAAGCAAUGAGGACCAGACAGUUCACGCUUAAGUCACAGCCUUGUUGAUGGAUUGCAGGUGAGAGUUUUUAAAGGCAGGGGUAAAUUUCAGGAAAGCAGAAGUUAUAGGCAACAUGGUAUGUCGAUACAUUUGCAUUGGUUUUGGCCUUAAGAAGACAGAUAACUUUAAGGGAGAGAGGGCUUACGUGUCAUAAAUAGAUUCAAAGAUUUUCUAAUUUGCAAUUAGAUAAGUAAGAUAAACCUUGUGUAAAAAUUUGGGGUCAGCAGAUUUGAAUGUUAGCUUGGCUCCUGGAUGUGACUCCCUCCUGGCGCCUCAGAAUGAAAUGUAAAACAAAGAACAGUGGUCAGAGUUCAGACUUCAGUUCCUCGUUAUCUGAGGUCUACAUGCCAGCAAGUUCGUUUGGUGGGGGUCUGGGUUUCUGAAAAACAACUCAGAGACCUAUGUUGUUAUCUUUAGUUUCUGCAGGAGAAUCAAACAUCCCAUGAUUGAAGCUUUCUUGGCUGUUGUUUUGGGCUACUAUUACUUUCUUGCUUUUCAAGUUACUUAUUUAUUUCUCAGGGCUGGCUAGGCACCUGGAAUUUCCCUUGAAAGAACUCAAGAUUUCCCUUUAGUUCCAUGCUUGGGUGUGGAGAGGUGCAGGCCCCUAAGAGGGGGUCUCUGCUCCUUUUCAGUUUAGAGCCUGACACAUAAUGCCUGAUUCAACAAAUAUUCACUUAAUCACAGAAUGAAUGAAAGUACUAUCAUAUUUGAUGCUCACAUUAUUUCUAUUAGACAGAUGAGGAAAGAAAGAUGAAUUAAGGAUUAUUGUACAAGGUCACAGAGAUGAUAAGCAACAGCAGUUAGAUUUAAACCAGAUCUUUUGACUGGAGAGCCCUAAUCUUUUCAAUGACUCCGGCCUGCUGCUUCUAUUAAAGUUGUACAUGUUUUUAGAGCCGAUCUAUCAAAUCAUGUUUGUUCAGAAGAUUUUAUGAUAAAUACUUCAUACUUUAGCACUUUUUUGAUAUUUAGAACCAAAGACAGACUUAAACUUCCUCAGCACAAAAACACCAGAAAGGCCCGUUGAGAAACCUGCUGCAAAUUUUAAUGUGCAUCUGCAGAGGAUUAGGGUCCCCAUAGACAUUCUGGGGCAUUCCCCAGGGAGUUUCAUGGAAUACUAUUUCCCAAAGCUGUUCAGAAGUUCCAUGAAGUCAGGAACAUUUUUCUGCUGCUUAGGCAAGUAUGUUAUCUGCAGACUGUAAUUUCUCAAGUCCAAGAAAGGGAAAUGUUGGUGACAGAAACUUACUCUGGGGACUUCAUCUACAGAAAGAAAGCUCACUUAUCACAAACAAACCAUUUCUAAGAGAGCAACAAUUUUGUUGACUACAUUUAAAGACAGAAACACGCAGUUCCCAAGUGCAAUUUCAGUUUUCCAAAGGACAGUUUGAUUCUUUUUCAGAAAUGCGUUGGUGAUUAUUUUUUGUUGUUUUGUUUUGUUUUGCUUAGAAGGACUGCUUAGUGUGCCUCUUUAGUCAACAUGAAAAAGAAGAAAAGAACAAGCAACUGAAUGAUCCUCUGAUGGCCUCAAGGCAGUGGAUUGAGAAUAUCUCUUAAGUACAAGGAGGUAUUCUAGGUUGUUCCUACUUUGGCCAUUGGAGCUCUUUCCAGUUAGCUUCUCUUCCUUGGACAGCUUCCAUACGUUUUUGAGCACUUCCUUAUUUCUGACACCAGAAGAUGACUCAGGCUUGACUUGUAUUCUCCCCGUCCAACAAUGGAAUCUGCCAUUUCUCCAAGGAGCCCUGAUUCCUUUUAUUUGAGCGUGGUACAUAGAAGCUGAGCAACUUUUUCUCUCUUUCUAAUAAAUGCUAAUUCAGGAAAAAUAAAAAACUUAUAAAACAAAA